GGACCGGUUGUCUAGUGGUCAGGAUGACGCACUCACACUGCGUAGGUCAUGGGUUCGACCCCCAUCCGGUCCA
rnacentral:tRNA from 1 species